UACGUAGGGGUGCAAGCGUUUAUCCGGAAUUAUUGGGCGUAAAGAGCUCGUAGGCGGUUUGUUGCGUCUGCUGUGAAAACCCCGAGGCUCAACCUCGGGCCUGCAGUGGGUACGGGCAAACUAGAGUGCGGUAGGGGAGAUUGGAAUUCCUGGUGUAGCGGUGGAAUGCGCAGAUAUCAGGAGGAACACCGAUGGCGAAGGCGGGUCUCUGGGCCGAUACUGACGCUGAGGAGCGAAAGCGUGGGGGAGCGAACAGG
rnacentral:rRNA from 1 species